rnacentral:rRNA from 1 species
GAUGAACGCUGGCGGUAUGCUUAACACAUGCAAGUCGAACGGACUCUUCGGAGCUAGUGGCGGACGGGUGAGUAACGCGUGAGAAUCUGGCUUUGGGUUCGGGACAACCACUGGAAACGGUGGCUAAUACCGGAUGUGCCGAGAGGUAAAAGAGAAAUUGCCUGAAGAUGAGCUCGCGUCUGAUUAGCUAGUUGGUGAGGUAAAGGCUCACCAAGGCAGCGAUCAGUAGCUGGUCUGAGAGGAUGACCAGCCACACUGGGACUGAGACACGGCCCAGACUCCUACGGGAGGCAGCAGUGGGGAAUUUUCCGCAAUGGGCGAAAGCCUGACGGAGCAAUACCGCGUGAGGGAAGAAGGCUCUUGGGUUGUAAACCUCUUUUCUUAGGGAAGAACAAAAUGACGGUACCUAAGGAAUCAGCAUCGGCUAACUCCGUG